rnacentral:rRNA from 1 species
UACGUAGGGUGCAAGCGUUAAUCGGAAUACUGGGCGUAAAGCGUGCGCAGGCGGUUUUGUAAGUCUGACGUGAAAGCCCCGGGCUUAACCUGGGAAUUGCGUUGGAGACUGCAAGGCUUGAAUCUGGCAGAGGGGGGUAGAAUUCCACGUGUAGCAGUGAAAUGCGUAGAGAUGUGGAGGAACACCGAUGGCGAAGGCAGCCCCCUGGGUCAAGAUUGACGCUCAUGCACGAAGCGUGGGAGCAACAGG